rnacentral:rRNA from 1 species
UACGUAGGGGGCUAGCGUUGUCCGGAUUUAUUGGGCGUAAAGAGCGUGUAGGCGGCCAUGUAGGUCUGCUGUGAAAACUCGAGGCUCAACCUCGAGACGUCGGCGGAAACCAUCUGGCUAGAGUCCGGAAGAGGAGAGUGGAAUUCCUGGUGUAGCGGUGAAAUGCGCAGAUAUCAGGAAGAACACCCGUGGCGAAGGCGGCUCUCUGGAACGCAACUGACGCUGAGACGCGAAAGCGUGGGGAGCAAACAGG